UUUCUGAUGCUGAUAUUAUGACAGUGUGUGUUUGUGUGGGGGUCGUGUGAUGUAAUCUUUGAAAGUUUAUGACCGAACCUUUAUUGGGGAGCGACAAGAGAUCUCCCGGACUCAGUUUGGAUGGAGCAGAGCUGUUAUACUCGAGUCUAUUGGUAUGUAUGUGUUUCGCAGUGUUCGUUCCAGUAUUUUGUCUGAUUUAUUUAAAAACUAAAAAUUCGAUCUCUGGUAUUGCAGCGAAAUUGUCUAAACUGGUAUUAACUAUUCCUGGUAAAUCGCGGAGAAGAGUGGCCUGAACAAAAAAGUCAGCCCGAGACUAGAACCUCCCGCAGCGUAACAAGGAAAUCUUGGAACAAAAGAGACGCCGAGUGGAUCGUGUUGUGCGAUUGGAUAUCAGAGGCAAAGCGAGUAUUGUGUGUACUAUUGCAAAAAUAUAUAUAGCGGAUCUCCACGGCUAGGAUACAGACCACAACACUUUGGACGUAUCUUUAAAAAAGAGAAAAAUCAGAGACUUUUUGGAUUUGUCUGGGACAUUUUAAACAUUUUGUGGCAAAUUGGAUUUAAAACGUUUCGGAUACUGGAUACACGUGUUUGAUUUGUCCACAGAGCUUGUUUAAGACGUCUUC